rnacentral:rRNA from 1 species
UACGUAGGGUGCAGGCGUUAAUCGGAAUUACUGGGCGUAAAGCGUGCGCAGGCGGUCUGCUAAGAGAGGUGUGAAAUCCCCGGGCUUAACCUGGGAACUGCGCUUCUAACUGGCAGGCUGGAGUGUGGCAGAGGGGGGUGGAAUUCCACGUGUAGCAGUGAAAUGCGUAGAGAUGUGGAGGAACACCGAUGGCGAAGGCAGCCCCCUGGGCUAACACUGACGCUCAUGCACGAAAGCGUGGGGAGCAAACAGG